UUUUCCAGGCAAAUCCGGAAAACUAAGGCUGAGGCGUGAUGACGAGGCACUACGGUGCUGAAGCAACAAAUGCCCUGCUUCCAGGAAAAGCCUCUAAGCAUCAGGUAACAUCAAAUCGUACCCCAAACCGACACAGGUGGUCAGGUAGAGAAUACCAAGGCGCUUGAGAGAACUCGGGUGAAGGAACUAGGCAAAAUGGUGCCGUAACUUCGGGAGAAGGCACGCUGAUAUGUAGGUGAAGUCCCUCGCGGAUGGAGCUGAAAUCAGUCGAAGAUACCAGCUGGCUGCAACUGUUUAUUAAAAACACAGCACUGUGCAAACACGAAAGUGGACGUAUACGGUGUGACGCCUGCCCGGUGCCGGAAGGUUAAUUGAUGGGGUUAGCGGUAACGCGAAGCUCUUGAUCGAAGCCCCGGUAAACGGCGGCCGUAACUAUAACGGUCCUAAGGUAGCGAAAUUCCUUGUCGGGUAAGUUCCGACCUGCACGAAUGGCGUAAUGAUGGCCAGGCUGUCUCCACCCGAGACUCAGUGAAAUUGAACUCGCUGUGAAGAUGCAGUGUACCCGCGGCAAGACGGAAAGACCCCGUGAACCUUUACUAUAGCUUGACACUGAACAUUGAGCCUUGAUGUGUAGGAUAGGUGGGAGGCUUUGAAGUGUGGACGCCAGUCUGCAUGGAGCCGGCCUUGAAAUACCACCCUUUAAUGUUUGAUGUUCUAACGUUGGCCCCUGAUCGGGGUUGCGGACAGUGUCUGGUGGGUAGUUUGACUGGGGCGGUCUCCUCCUAAAGAGUAACGGAGGAGCACGAAGGUUGGCUAAUCCUGGUCGGACAUCAGGAGGUUAGUGCAAUGGCAUAAGCCAGCUUGACUGCGAGCGUGACGGCGCGAGCAGGUGCGAAAGCAGGUCAUAGUGAUCCGGUGGUUCUGAAUGGAAGGGCCAUCGCUCAACGGAUAAAAGGUACUCCGGGGAUAACAGGCUGAUACCGCCCAAGAGUUCAUAUCGACGGCGGUGUUUGGCACCUCGAUGUCGGCUCAUCACAUCCUGGGGCUGAAGUAGGUCCCAAGGGUAUGGCUGUUCGCCAUUUAAAGUGGUACGCGAGCUGGGUUUAGAACGUCGUGAGACAGUUCGGUCCCUAUCUGCCGUGGGCGCUGGAGAACUGAGGGGGGCUGCUCCUAGUACGAGAGGACCGGAGUGGACGCAUCACUGGUGUUCGGGUUGUCAUGCCAAUGGCACUGCCCGGUAGCUAAAUGCGGAAGAGAUAAGUGCUGAAAGCAUCUAAGCACGAAACUUGCCCCGAGAUGAGUUCUCCCUGACUCCUUGAGAGUCCUGAAGGAACGUUGAAGACGACGACGUUGAUAGGCCGGGUGUGUAAGCGCAGCGAUGCGUUGAGCUAACCGGUACUAAUGAACCGUGAGGCUUAACCUU
rnacentral:rRNA from 1 species